UACAGAGGUCUCAAGCGUUGUUCGGAUUCAUUGGGCGUAAAGGGUGCGUAGGCGGCGCGGUAAGUCGGGUGUGAAAUCUCGGGGCUUAACUCCGAAACUGCAUUCGAUACUACCGUGCUUGAGGACUGGAGAGGAGACUGGAAUUUACGGUGUAGCGGUGAAAUGCGUAGAUAUCGUAAGGAAGACCAGUGGCGAAGGCGGGUCUCUGGACAGUUCCUGACACUGAGACACGAAGGCCAGGGGAGCGAACGGG
rnacentral:rRNA from 1 species